rnacentral:rRNA from 1 species
CUAGCUGGUCUGAGAGGAUGACCAGCCACACUGGAACUGAGACACGGUCCAGACUCCUACGGGAGGCAGCAGUGGGGAAUAUUGCACAAUGGGCGCAAGCCUGAUGCAGCCAUGCCGCGUGUAUGAAGAAGGCCUUCGGGUUGUAAAGUACUUUCAGCGGGGAGGAAGGGAGUAAAGUUAAUACCUUUGCUCAUUGACGUUACCCGCAGAAGAAGCACCGGCUAACUCCGUGCCAGCAGCCGCGGUAAUACGGAGGGUGCAAGCGUUAAUCGGAAUUACUGGGCGUAAAGCGCACGCAGGCGGUUUGUUAAGU